rnacentral:rRNA from 1 species
CCUACGGGAGGCAGCAGUAGGGAAUAUUGCUCAAUGGGGGAAACCCUGAUGCAGCAACGCCGCGUGGGGGAUGAAGGUUUUCGGAUUGUAAAGUCCUUUUGUUAGAGAAGAUAAUGACGGUAUCUGACUAAUAAGCCCCGGCUAACUCCGUGCCAGCAGCCGCGGUAAUACGGAGGGUGCAAGCGUUACUCGGACUUACUGGGCGCAAAGAGCGCGUAGGCGGGAUAGCAAGUCAGAUGUGAAAUCCUAUGGCUUAACCAUAGAACUGCAUUGGAAACUGUGAUUCUAGAGUAUGGGAGAGGUAGGUGGAAUUCUUGGUGUAGGGGUAAAAUGCGUAGAGAUCAAGAGGAAUACUCAUUGCGAAGGCGACCUGCUAGAACAUAACUGACGCUGAGGCGCGAAAGCGUGGGGAGCAAACAGGAUUAGAUACCCGGGUAGUC